UGCCAGCAGCCGCGGUAAUACAUAGGGGGCAAGCGUUAUUCGGAAUUAUUGGGCGUAAAGGGUGCGUAGGCGGCAUUUCAAGUCUGUUGUUAAAUUUCCCGGCCUAACCGGGAGUCGGCAAUGGAUACUGAUAUGCUAGAGGAUGGAAGAGAGAAGUGGAAUUCUUGGAGUAGCGGUAAAAUGCGUAGAUCUCAAGAGGAACACCGAUGGCGAAGGCAGCUUCUUGGUCCAUUCCUGACGCUAAGGCACGAAAGCGUGGGGAGCGAACAGGAUUAGAUA
rnacentral:rRNA from 1 species